AGCAGCCGCGGUAAUUCCAGCUCCAAUAGCGUAUAUUAAAGUUGUUGCAGUUAAAAAGCUCGUAGUUGAAUUUCGGGAUCAAUACGUCGGUCGUGCUUUCGGGUACGUACUGGCGUCAUUGGUUUCUCCUUUCUGACGAACCAUGAUGUCAUUAAUUUGGUGUCGUGGGGAAUCAGGACUGUUACUUUGAAAAAAUUAGAGUGUUUAAAGCAGGCUUACGCUUGAAUACAUUAGCAUGGAAUAAUGAAAUAGGACGUUUGAUUCUAUUUUGUUGGUUUCUAGGAUUGACGUAAUGAUUAAUAGGGAUAGGUUGGGGGCAUUAGUAUUCAAUUGUCAGAGGUGAAAUUCUUGGAUUUAUUGAAGACUAACUACUGACGAAAGCAUUUGCCAAGGAUUGUUUUCAUUAAUCAAGAACGAAAGUUAGGGAUCGAAGACG
rnacentral:rRNA from 1 species